GGGCGAUUGGUUUAGUGGUAUAACGAUCCCUUCGCAUGGGAUAGGUCCUAGGUUCGAUUCCUAGAUUGUCCA